AGUGAACGCUGGCGGUAGGCCUAACACAUGCAAGUCGAACGGCAGCACAGUAAGAGCUUGCUCUUACGGGUGGCGAGUGGCGGACGGGUGAGGAAUACAUCGGAAUCUACUUUUUCGUGGGGGAUAACGUAGGGAAACUUAUGCUAAUACCGCAUACGACCUACGGGUGAAAGCAGGGGAUCUUCGGACCUUUCGCGAUUGAAUGAGCCGAUGUCGGAUUAGCUAGUUGGCGGGGUAAAGGCCCACCAAGGCGACGAUCCGUAGCUGGUCUGAGAGGAUGAUCAGCCACACUGGAACUGAGACACGGUCCAGACUCCUACGGGAGGCAGCAGUAGGGAAUAUUGGACAAUGGGCGCAAGCCUGAUCCAGCCAUACCGCGUGAGUGAAGAAGGCCUUCGGGUUGUAAAGCCCUUUUGUUGGGAAAGAAAAACAGCAGGUUAAUACCCCGCUGUUCUGACGGUACCCAAAGAAUAAGCACCGGCUAACUUCGUG
rnacentral:rRNA from 1 species